AUUGAACGCUGGCGGCAUGCCUUACACAUGCAAGUCGAACGGCAGCACGGGUGCUUGCACCUGGUGGCGAGUGGCGAACGGGUGAGUAAUACAUCGGAACGUACCUUAUCGUGGGGGAUAACGCAGCGAAAGCUGUGCUAAUACCGCAUACGCCCUGAGGGGGAAAGCGGGGGAUUGCAAGACCUCGCGCGAUUAGAGCGGCCGAUGCCUGAUUAGCUUGUUGGUGGGGUAAAAGCCCACCAAAGCGACGAUCAGUAGCUGGUCUGAGAGGACGAUCAGCCACACUGGGACUGAGACACGGCCCAGACUCCUACGGGAGGCAGCAGUGGGGAAUUUUGGACAAUGGGGGCAACCCUGAUCCAGCAAUGCCGCGUGAGUGAAGAAGGCCUUCGGGUUGUAAAGCUCUUUUGUCAGGGAAGAAACACCGGCUCUAACACAGUCCGGGAAUGACGGUACCUGAAGAAUAAGCACCGGCUAACUACGUGCCAGCCGCCGCGGUAA
rnacentral:rRNA from 1 species